rnacentral:rRNA from 1 species
AGUGAACGCUGGCGGUAGGCCUAACACAUGCAAGUCGAACGGCAGCACAGUAAGAGCUUGCUCUUACGGGUGGCGAGUGGCGGACGGGUGAGGAAUACAUCGGAAUCUACUUUUUCGUGGGGGAUAACGUAGGGAAACUUACGCUAAUACCGCAUACGACCUACGGGUGAAAGCAGGGGAUCUUCGGACCUUGCGCGAUUGAAUGAGCCGAUGUCGGAUUAGCUAGUUGGCGGGGUAAAGGCCCACCAAGGCGACGAUCCGUAGCUGGCCUGAGAGGAUGAUCAGCCACACUGGAACUGAGACACGGUCCAGACUCCUACGGGAGGCAGCAGUGGGGAAUAUUGGACAAUGGGCGCAAGCCUGAUCCAGCCAUACCGCGUGGGUGAAGAAGACCUUCGGGUUGUAAAGCCCUUUUGUUGGGAAAGAAAAGCAGCAGGUUAAUACCCCGCUGUUCUGACGGUACCCAAAGAAUAAGCACCGGCUAGCUUCGUG